AAUUAAGAUAGGCGUGAGUACGUUCAAAGAGAUACAAUUCGCAGAAAGAGAAAAAUAAGCGAUAAAAUUAUGUUUCUCAUGAAUUUGGAAGGAGGUGUAAGAUUGCAAUUAA